AGGCAGCAGUGGGGAAUAUUGCACAAUGGGGGAAACCCUGAUGCAGCCAUGCCGCGUGUGUGAAGAAGGCCUUCGGGUUGUAAAGCACUUUCAGUAGGGAGGAAGGUAGUGUAGUUAACACCUGCAUUAUUUGACGUUACCUACAGAAGAAGCACCGGCUAACUCCGUGCCAGCAGCCGCGGUAAUACGGAGGGUGCGAGCGUUAAUCGGAAUUACUGGGCGUAAAGCGCAUGCAGGCGGCCUGUUAAGUCAGAUGUGAAAGCCCGGGGCUUAACCUCGGAAUUGCAUUUGAAACUGGCAGGCUAGAGUCUUGUAGAGGGGGGUAGGAAUUUCAGGUGUAGCGGUGAAAUGCGUAGAGAUCUGAAGGAAUACCAGUGGCGAAGGCGGCCCCCUGGACAAAGACUGACGCUCAGAUGCGAAAGCGUGGGGAGCAAACAGGAUUAGAUACCCUGGUGG
rnacentral:rRNA from 1 species